rnacentral:lncRNA from 1 species
CUUGAGAAGCUGCGAAGAUGGCGGAGUAAGGCGUGCCGCUGCAAACUGGCCUCUGGGCCGGGGGCGAGCAGCCCCCGGGAGGCCGAGUGCAUCUGUUGGACCGUGCGAGGGAGAAGAAAAAAAAUAUCGGCCAGAGGAGAGGAACUAACCGAACAUUCUUCCUCCCUACCUUAUAGAGGGGAGUGGUCAUCUACACUAAAGCAAAGUGUUAGGCGCGUCCGUGCGAAGAGACCACCAAACAGGCUUUGUGGUUCCUUAUCACAGGAAGAAAAUUUUCCUUGACCUUUAGGUGCUUUUAUAUUCAUCUCAAAAACAAAAUUCUGAACUCAGGACUUGGCAAGGUGUCUCUAUGUUGUCUCCUAGAGUGGGUAGUCCUGCUUCUUUUACCCAGUUACUUUCCCGUUUUUGAAAUGUGGCUAUCACUUCUCUACACAUUACCUCCAUGAUUUGGAAUGGAAAAGGCCACUUUUCUUUUUGUUCUGCCUCUCAAAUUCAACACAGAGGAGCUCCUAGGAUUCCAGUUAUCCUGCUAACAUCUCCAGGAAGAAAGAAGCAACUCACAUGGGUCUUUUGCUGUUUGCUUAAUUAUAAAGACAUCAUUUUGCAAGCAGAAGGCUGAGUUUCAUUUGAAACAGGUGCUUAGGUGGUGGUAUUUGUGAAUACUUUUCAUUCCAAGCAAGAAGACUAAAGAAGUAGCAAGUAUGAAUGACUUCAGGGUUUAAAAAAAAUGUCUUCCAGUUUCAGCCACUACCAUGAUAAGCACAGUUGAGACUGCAGCAGUAAAUUCCAAAUAUGUGUUUCUAAUUUGACGUGAAAGAUACUAAAAAUUUAUAUUUGUAUAUUUAAAUCCUGGCUCAUCCUGUGACAUAGAUUUACUGAAUAGGAACAAAGGCCCAAUUUUAAACAAAAACCUAGGCCGGGUGUGGUGGCUCACACCUGUAAUCCCAACACUUUGGGAGGCCAAGGCAGGCAAAUCACCUGAGGUUGGGAGUUUGAGACCAGCCUGACCAACAUGGAGAAACCCCAUCUCUACUAAAAAUAGAAAAUUAGCCAGGUGUGGUGGUAGAUACGUGUAAUCCCAGCUACUCGUGAGGCUGAGGCAGGAGAAUUGCUUGAAUCCGGGAGGCGGAGGUUGCAGUGAACUGAGAUUGCACCACUGCACUCCAGCCUGGGCGACAGAGUGAGACUCCGUCUCAGAAAAAUAAAAAACAACUUUGGACAUAGAGGAGUUGGGGGCAGAGGGGGGAGGAUGAGAGAAUUUUCCAUGUAACUCCUUUUCCUUAAGAAAAAGAAGCAAAAAUCCCUCAUGCAGUGCCAUCUGACUUUAUGGUGUUUCACAUUAUAUAGUUACUUUUUUUAAUAAACGCAUAAGAUUAACUCUUCCUGCAACCCAAGGUGGAUACUUGGAUGUUUGAUUUUUAUUUAUUUAUUUAUUUAUUUUUUGAGGCAGUCUCUCUCUGUUGCCCAGGCUGGAGUGAUGCGUGAUUUCUGCUCACUGCAGUCUCUCCCACCCGGGUUCAAGCGAUUCUCCUGCCUCAGCCUCCCAAGUAGCUAGGAUUACAGGCGCGCACCACCACGCUCAGCCUGAUUUCUAGGCUGAAAAGGCUGGGACUCAGGUACUUUCCCCAGUUGGGACUGAACUUUCUCAUCAGAGAAUGGGCCUCAGAAGCAAUGUUCCCAAACUUGUGGUUGGGUCAUCGUGGAAAAGAAACCUCAAAUAAGAAAAAUAAUUACAAUAAGAAAUGGAUUUUCUUUUUUCCCACAACAGUUAUACAUUAUAAAGAACAGACUGUCGUAGAAAACUGUCUUUGCUUCCAAAUCAGCAGAGGACCAUUGUAUGUAUUGUCAGGUCUUUAUAUAAGAGUGAAACCUUUAUUUAUGCUUCUUGUGAGUAGAGA